UGGGGAAUUUUGCGCAAUGGGGGAAACCCUGACGCAGCAACGCCGCGUGCGGGAUGACGGCCUUCGGGUUGUAAACCGCUUUCAGCAGGGAAGAAAUUCGACGGUACCUGCAGAAGAAGCUCCGGCUAACUACGUGCCAGCAGCCGCGGUAAUACGUAGGGAGCGAGCGUUAUCCGGAUUCAUUGGGCGUAAAGAGCGCGUAGGCGGCCUUUCAAGCGGGAUCUCUAAUCCGAGGGCUCAACCCCCGGCCGGAUCCCGAACUGGGAGGCUCGAGUUCGGUAGAGGCAGGCGGAAUUCCCGGUGUAGCGGUGGAAUGCGCAGAUAUCGGGAAGAACACCGAUGGCGAAGGCAGCCUGCUGGGCCGAAACUGACGCUGAGGCGCGAAAGCUAGGGGAGCGAACAGG
rnacentral:rRNA from 1 species